UUUUAUUUAUUCAAGCAGCAAUGUGGAAAUAAUUAAUCCGAAAGUACACCCCAGUAUUACUAUUGGUUGCUAUGUAGUGAUAUGAUGGAUAUACGUCAAUUUAUACGAAAGGAACUAACAAUUAUUUUACGGUGUAAAUAAUUAAAAAUUGUCAAAAUUUUGGAUGAAAUAAAUUUCAACAUGAUAAGUAUUAUUAAUUAUUAAUUGUUGUUUCGAAAUUGUUUUCAAACUCACAGAAGCUAAAAAGUCACUGAUUAAAAUGAGUUCAAUCUCCUAAACUCCAAACACUCAACGUCGCUCACUGUCGUCCAAAAUGAGGCUUGGUUAGUCCAAACAACUUCAAAAGCGGCACGUAACGCGUGACUGACAAAGAUGAUGGUGGAUUAAGGCGAGAAACCGCUUUCAGGGUCUCAGGUGCAGGAUGUGGAACGAUAAGUGCAAAAAAGGAAAGAUAGUCGUUGCUUACAGCACAAGUUCCCAAAUGAAAAAAGUAUUUCACAGGAAAUACAUUUAAGUACG